UACGUAGGGAGCAAGCGUUGUCCGCAAUCAUUGGGCGUAAAGCGCGCGUAGGUGGCUUCGUAAGUCCGUUGUGAAAGUCAAAGGCUCAACCUUUGAAAGCCGAUGGAUACUGCGGAGCUAGAGUACGGAAGAGGCGAGUGGAAUUCCUGGUGUAGCGGUGGAAUGCGCAGAUAUCAGGAGGAACACCAAUAGCGAAGGCAGCUCGCUGGGACGUUACUGACACUGAGGCGCGAAAGCGUGGGGAGCGAACAGG
rnacentral:rRNA from 1 species